AGCGGCGGACGGGUGAGUAACGCGUGGGUAACCUGCCUUACACAGGGGGAUAACAGUUAGAAAUGACUGACUAAUACCGCAUAAGACCCCGGUACCGCAUGGUACAGAGGUAAAAACUGAGGUGGUGUAAGAUGGACCCGCGUCUGAUUAGGUAGUUUGGUGAGGUAACGGCUCACCAAGCCGACGAUCAGUAGCCGGCCUGAGAGGGUGGACGGCCACAUUGGGACUGAGACACGGCCCAGACUCCUACGGAAGGCAGCAG
rnacentral:rRNA from 1 species